rnacentral:rRNA from 1 species
GACGAACGCUGGCGGCGUGCUUAACACAUGCAAGUCGAACGGAAAGGCCCUGCUUUUGUGGGGUUCUCGAGUGGCGAACGGGUGAGUAACACGUGAGUAACCUUCCCUUGACUUUGGGAUAACUUCAGGAAACUGGGGCUAAUACCGGAUAGGAGCUCCUGCUGCAUGGUGGGGGUUGGAACGUUUCGGCGGUUGGGGAUGGACUCGCGGCUUAUCAGCUUGUUGGUUGGGUAGUGGCUUACCAAGGCUUUGACGGGUAGCCGGCCUGAGAGGGUGACCGGCCACAUUGGGACUGAGAGACGGCCCAGACUCCUACGGGAGGCAGCAGUGGGGAAUAUUGCACAAUGGGCGGAAGCCUGAUGCAGCAACGCCGCGUGCGGGAUGACGGCCUUCGGGUUGUAAACCGCUGUCGCCUGUGACGAAGCGUGAGUGACGGUAAUGGGUAAAGAAGCACCGGCUAACUACGUG